GGAUUAGAUACCCUGGUAGUCCACACUGUAAACGCUGUCUACUAGCUGUGUGUGUAUAUUAUACGUGCGUAGCGAAGCUAACGCGCUAAGUAGACCGCCUGGGGAGUACGGCCGCAAGGUUAAAACUCAAAUGAAUUGACGGGGGCCCGCACAAGCGGUGGAGCAUGUGGUUUAAUUCGAUGCAACGCGAAGAACCUUACCUACACUUGACAUGCCGAGAAUUUACCAGAGAUGGUUUAGUGCCUUCGGGAACUCGGACACAGGUGCUGCAUGGCUGUCGUCAGCUCGUGCUG
rnacentral:rRNA from 1 species